rnacentral:rRNA from 1 species
GAGUUUGAUCCUGGCUCAGAUUGAACGCUGGCGGCAUGCCUUACACAUGCAAGUCGAACGGUAACAGGGAGCUUGCUCCGCUGACGAGUGGCGAACGGGUGAGUAAUGUAUCGGAACGUACCAUUCAGUGGGGGAUAACGUAGCGAAAGUUACGCUAAUACCGCAUAUUCUGUGAGCAGGAAAGCAGGGGAUCGCAAGACCUUGCGCUGAUUGAGCGGCCGAUAUCAGAUUAGCUAGUUGGUGAGGUAAAGGCUCACCAAGGCGACGAUCUGUAGCGGGUCUGAGAGGAUGAUCCGCCACACUGGAACUGAGACACGGUCCAGACUCCUACGGGAGGCAGCAGUGGGGAAUUUUGGACAAUGGGGGCAACCCUGAUCCAGCCAUGCCGCGUGAGUGAAGAAGGCCUUCGGGUUGUAAAGCUCUUUCGGCCGGGAAAAAAUCGCAUGGGUUAAUACCCUGUGUGGAUGAUGGUACCGGAAUAAGAAGCACCGGCUAACUACGUGCCAGCAGCCGCGGUAAUCCC